AUUGAACGCUGGCGGCAGGCCUAACACAUGCAAGUCGAACGAGUGGCGGACGGGUGAGUAAUGUCUGGGAAUCUGCCCGAUAGAGGGGGAUAACUACUGGCAACGGUUGCUAAUACCGCAUACCAUCUGAUUAACCCCUAUGGGAUUAGCUAGUAGGUGGGGUAAAGGCUCACCUAGGCGACGCUCCCUAGCUGGUCUGAGAGGAUGAACAGCCAAACUGGAACGGAGACAAGGGCCAGACUCCUAAGGGAGGCAGCAGGGGGGAAUAUUGCACAAUGGGCGCAAGCCUGAUGCAGCCAUGCCGCGGGUAUGAAGAAGGCCUUCGGGUUGUAAAGUACUUUCAGCGGGGAGGCGUUACCCGCAGAAGAAGCACCGGCUAACUCCGUGCCAGCAGCCGCGGUAAUUC
rnacentral:rRNA from 1 species